rnacentral:rRNA from 1 species
AUUGAACGCUGGCGGCAUGCCUUACACAUGCAAGUCGAACGGCAGCACGGGUGCUUGCAACUGGUGGCGAGUGGCGAACGGGUGAGUAAUACAUCGGAACAUGUCCUGUAGUGGGGGAUAGCCCGGCGAAAGCCGGAUUAAUACCGCAUACGAUCUACGGUUGAAAGCGGGGGACCUUCGGGCCUCGCGCUAUGGGGUAGGCCGAUAGCUGUUUAGCUAGUUGGUGGGGUAAAGGCCUACCAAGGCGAAGCACAGUAGCUGGACUGAGAGGACGACCAGCCACACGGGGACUGAGACACGGCCCAGACUCCUACGGGAGGCAGCAGUGGGGAAUUUUGGACAAUGGGGGAAGGCCUGACCCAGCAAUGCCGCGUGGUGGAAGAAGGCCUUCGGGUUGUAAAGCAUGUUUGUCCGGAAAGAAAUCCUUGGCUCUAAUACAGUCGGGGGAUGACGGUACCGGAAGAAUAAGCACCGGCUAACUACGUG